rnacentral:rRNA from 1 species
UGAGGAAUAUUGGUCAAUGGGCGGGAGCCUGAACCAGCCAAGCCGCGUGAGGGAGGAAGGCCCUAUGGGUCGUAAACCUCUUUUGUCAGGGAACAAAAGCGAGUAUGUAUACUAGUCUGAGUGUACCUGAAGAAAAAGCAUCGGCUAACUCCGUGCCAGCAGCCGCGGUAAUACGGAGGAUGCGAGCGUUAUCCGGAUUUAUUGGGUUUAAAGGGUGCGUAGGCGGCGGUGCAAGUCAGCGGUAAAAGCCCGGGGCUCAACCCCGGCGAGCCGUUGAAACUGCAGUGCUAGAGAAGGCGAGAGGUACGCGGAAUGCGCAGUGUAGCGGUGAAAUGCUUAGAUAUUGCGCAGAACUCCGAUUGCGAAGGCAGCGCACUGGCGCCUGACUGACGCUGAGGCACGAAAGCGUGGGGAUCGAACAGGAUUAGAUACCC